rnacentral:misc_RNA from 1 species
AGAUGGGGGGGAUCAAGCCUUUUGGCGAUUUAGACAAAACAAGUCCACCGUGGGCUUUGAAAAACGCUUUCCUUGAUAAAAUUUAAGCGUUUUAUAAGAGGAUGCCGGGGAAGGUUUUCCGGUUUAUCCCGGAGGGCUUGUAGCUCAGUUGGUUAGAGCGCGCGCUUGAUAAGCGUGAGGUCGGAGGUUCAAGUCCUCCCAGGCCCACCAGUUUAUCCAUUACUUUCAUAAGUGCUUUUAAAAAAUAAGUACUUCUAAAAAGAUUGCUUCUAAAAAGCUUAUCAAAAUUGGCAGGCUUAUUGCUUUUGUGUGAGUAAUUCAAAGUUAAAGCAAAUUAAUGGCAAAAAAAC